rnacentral:rRNA from 1 species
CUCGCAGCGUGGAUUAGGCAUGCAAGUCGUGCGCGAAAGUCUUCGGACGAGUAAAGCGGCGAAAGGGUGAGUAACACGUAACCAACGUACCCUCUAGACCGGGAUAACCACUGGAAACGGUGGGUAAUACCGGAUGGUCCCCGGGAAGGCAUCUUCCCGCGGGUAAACGGUGGCUUCGGCUGCUGCUGGGGGAGCGGGUUGCGGCCUAUCAGCUUGUUGGUGGGGUAACGGCCUACCAAGGCUAUGACGGGUAGCGGGUCUGAGAGGAUGAUCCGUCACACUGGGACUGAGACACUGCCCAGACUCCUACGGGAGGCUGCAGUCGAGAAUCUUCCACAAUGGGCGAAAGCCUGAUGGAGCGACGCUGCGUGCAGGAUGAAGGCCUUAGGGUUGUAAACUGCUGUCACGCUAUAGGAAACCGUAGGGGUUAAUAGCCUCUGCGUUGACCAAAGCGAGAGGAAGUGCCGGCUAACUCCGUGCCAGCAGCCGCGGUAAGACGGAGGGCGCAAGCGUUGUUCGGAAUCACUGGGCAUAAAGAGCACGUAGGCUGCCAGCUAAGUCUGGUGUGAAAGCCCCCGGCCCAACCGGGGAACUGCACCAGAUACUGGUUGGCUCGAGGACAGGAGGGGUGAGCGGAACUCCA